CUUCCAUCUGGACAAUCCAUCUACCCAUGAGUGAUCACAGUAUCAGAAGCAUACCUGCACCUUGACAAGGCAGGGGACCCCCCCCCCAUUUCCAUGACUCUUCAGAGGUUCAGACAAGGGAAG